GUGCCAGCCGCCGCGGUAAUACAGAGGUCUCAAGCGUUGUUCGGAUUCAUUGGGCGUAAAGGGUGCGUAGGCGGCGCCAUAAGUCGGAUGUGAAAUCUCUGGGCUCAACCCAGAAAUUGCAUUCGAUACUGUGGUGCUCGAGGACUGGAGAGGAGACUGGAAUUCACGGUGUAGCAGUGAAAUGCGUAGAUAUCGUGAGGAAGACCGGUGGCGAAGGCGAGUCUCUGGACAGUUCCUGACGCUGAGGCACAAAGGCCAGGGGAGCGAACGGGAUUAGAUACCCGGGUAGUCC
rnacentral:rRNA from 1 species